CUUUAACUUUGGAUUAACAUCUAUAUUUUUUCAUGGAAGGAAAUUCGCAUCUAUAUCUUCUUGGUCUUCUCCAACAACGGCUGUUUUAUUUUAUCAAAUGGAUUUUGAUAAAAUUACUUAAGUAGUUGAUCAUCUUAAUUUGUCCUCUAACUUACUGAUACAGGGAGUAAUAUCAAUAGGUUUUCUAAGAUGGAAAAAUUCCACCAUUGUUAAAAUAACUCAUCUGGGCCCUGUGUUUUCUUUGAAGAAGUAUGAGAUGUCAUCAUGUAUGAUCUCCACCAACAUCCUAGCCACUACAAUUGUCAUUCAUCUGACUGAGUUUAUCUUUGGCACGUUCAAAGUCAUGCUAUAAUAGUGCUUAAGAGUGGUCCAGCUAUGUUUAGGAUAAAAUAUCCUUACUUUGAAUAUUUAAAUUCAAAAAAAUAUAAAAAAUUGUUCUUUUUCAAUUGAUAUUUUAAACUUGAAGGUUUUCUGCUUGUGGAAG
rnacentral:lncRNA from 1 species